UACGUAGGGUGCGAGCGUUAAUCGGAAUUACUGGGCGUAAAGCGUGCGCAGGCGGUUUUGUAAGCCAGAUGUGAAAUCCCCGGGCUUAACCUGGGAAUGGCAUUUGGGACUGCAAGGCUCGAGUGCGGCAGAGGAGACUGGAAUUCCUGGUGUAGCAGUGAAAUGCGUAGAUAUCAGGAGGAAUACCGAUGGCGAAGGCGGCCUACUGGGCCAGUACUGACGCUGAGCCGCGAAAGCCAGGGGAGCGAACGGG
rnacentral:rRNA from 1 species